GUGACGAUGAAGAUGAUGAUGAUGAUGAUGAUGAAGCUCCCCCAGGUGUGGAUACAUGGGAUUUGGUCACAUUGGUGAAGAUGGCAUAAUCAGGAGAAUUUGGAGGAAUUUUGAGUAGCUCUGCGCUCAUCAACAAGGAAAUUAAUGUAUUUUAAUUUAGAAGAGAACUAUAAUUAAGUAGCUAUAAACAUGGUAAAAUGAAUCCGACAUAAGUAUGCAUAUAACGAGAGUAAAUUUGAUGAUAAAAAUAAAUCUAGCACCAUCAUCCACAGAGAAUAUCUUCCUAAUACAACCAAAUAAUAUGAUAAUUUUAUAUGAAGCAAUGUGAACAAUGAUAAAAUCUCAUACAACCGAUCAGAUGGUUGGCAUUGAGACAUAAGUAUUACUCCAUCUAUGUAAAGAUAUUUGAUUGAGCAUGUAAUUUAAGCAAAGGCCAAUGCAUAGUUCAAUAUCAGGUUCGUUUGAAUCCACUACUUUCAACAUGAAAUAUGAAGUUGUGUGUAAAUAUCAACUAAAACUACAACAAACGGUAGGUAUGAAUCCAUAAUCGGUCAAUGUUAAAAUCUUUAGUGAUUGAAUACACAGAAUUUAAAUCCUAGAUCGUGCAUCUUUGAGUUUAAGAAUAAUAGAAAUACUUUUGAAACUUAUGAUCUAAAACAAACCACAAGUAGUUGUAGAAUUUAAGUUUUGUACACCGUCGUGUGCCAAAAAAAAUUGCACCAUAGGUAAAUGUCCGUGCUAUUGCAGGUUACCAAUUCUUUUAACUAUUUUUUCCUUUCUCUAAAAAUUGCACCAUAGGUAAAUGUCCGUGCUAUUGCAGUUUACCAAUUCUUUUAACUAUUUUUUCUUUUCUCUAAAAAAUUAAAUGAAAAAAAAAACAUUACUGCAGCAUCUCCUCUAAAUCUUCUGACUUAAAUCUCUCCUCCAAACCCUCCUUCCUUGUUUAUUUACUUGGCUUGCUGUCCAACCCCAUAUGUUUGUCAUCACUUUAAUAUGAUUGAAGCACUAAAUAUAGUUUAACAUUUUGAUGCAAAUUCUUAUAAGAUAUUAUGCUUACCAAAUGUAAAGAAAAAGAAAAAGACUAAAGUGUGCUUAUAUAGUAGGCUAAAAAAAUAACAGUUAUGUACUUGUGCUAGCCCUUAAUUAAGCAAAAGAAACUCUUCUGGUCGAGGGUGGUAUAAUCACUGAGAAAAUAUUGUCUUCUCGCAAUGUUCAAAAUAUCUGAGAUAUGGAUAGAUUAAUUGUUGAUAAUGACGAUCUUGUUUAAGAUUAAAUUAUGAAACCAUCGGAAUUUAAUCUUUAUAUAAUAAAGGAGAAUAGUCUAACUUAUAAUUAAGUCAAGCGACAUCUUAAAAACUAGUCACUUGUAUUUUACAACAAAAAAUAAUUUUAUAGAUUAUUUAAUUAUUUCAUAUUUAUUGAAUAUUUAUUUCAUAUUGUGGUAAAAAAAAAAAAAAAAAACUAUGUUUGACUCAUAUUGAAUGAAAACUAUUAAGAUUGACUCCUAUUAGAUGAAAAUAACUAAAAUUUCUCUAAGAAAAAUCGUCCUCUUGAAUUAUGUAUAAAUUAUAUCAAAAAAAACUCUUUAAUUUUCAUGUUUCAUAUCUUUAAAUAUUACAUAUCUAUUUCAUUAUAGUAAAAAAAUAACUAAGUUUGAUUUCUAUUGGAUGAAAACUAUUAAAUUGACUCCAAUAGGACGAAGACGAUUGGGAUUUUUUUUUAUUAUUAUUGUGGUUUGAAAUCAAUGGGAGUGUAAAUAAUCAAUUAACUAAUUUUAUUUAAUCUAUUGUGAUCUUAUUAUUGGUUUGGAAAUUAGUUUUACUAAUAAGUAUUGUUUUUGUGUAAUAGUAAAUUUGCUAUAAUCAAAUUAAUUAAAUUUAAUUAAGUAACAAUAAUUUACUAUAAUUAAAUUUAUUAGAUUAUACAACAACAACAACAAACCCAGUGUAUUCCCACUUAGUGGGGUCUGGGGGGUAAGAUGUACGCAGUCCAUACCUCUACCUCUGAUGAAGUAGAAAAAUUUAUUAGAUUAUAUUGAGGUAAAAAUCAGUUAAUUAUAACAACUAUUUUAUUAGUAAACAAAUUACAAAAUUCAUAAUCAAAUUUAACUAACAAUAGAUUAGGAUGAUAUCUAAAAUCAAGCCUCUUGAAUUAUACUUUACAUAAAUUCAAAUAAUAAUAUUUCGAAUUUAAGUAAUAUAAAAUAUAGAUUUAUUAAUAAUUAUAUCUUUGAAAUAAAUGAGAUUGCAACUGAUGAAUUUGCUGGUUUAAUGCAACCAAUUGUGAUAGUAUUGUAAUACUUUGAAAGUAGCAUUGCCUACAGAAAGUAGUACAUGCAAAAAUUGAAUCGAUAAAACUAUUGUCGAUUUAUUCUUAUUGGGAUUAAUGGUUUUAUAAACUUUUUUAUUGGGUUAUUGGUUCGAAUUGUUUUUUUUUAUUGGGUUAUUGAGUAAAUCGAUAACCCAAUAAAAAUAUACUAAAUUACUACUUUUUAUAUAUAUAUAUAUAUAUAUUUAUAUAUAAAUCUUUUAUUAACUUAUUUCUUAAAUCUUUUUGGGGGAUUAUGCAAAUAGACGUUCAUAACACAAAUCUAUUCAUUUCCUGAAAAUCUAUAACUCGAUAAAGUUAAACAUUUUUAAUUUCCUCUUUGAUAAAUCAACGGUGAGGGUUUGCAACGACAACAGCUGCAUAGUUUGUGGACAGGAUAAUGGACUUCUUAUUUGUGGAAUUUAGCACUGGAAGGCAUAUGCCAUGUUAGCUGCUAUUGUUCUUAUUUUGUGAGCAUUCCUAUUGAUGUCAUGUUAGUUGCUACUGUUACACAAAAUUGAAAAUCAGUGUGUCAAAUUGAUAUUUAUUUUGUGAAUAUUUUUUAUUGGUUAAAUCGGAAAUCGAACUGUUAAGGAUCAAAAAUUGAUAAAAUGAAAAUCGAUAAAUAAAAAAUAUCUUAAUGAUUGGUUAUUGAUUUAGCAUAUUUAAAAAAAAUCAAAAAUCGAUCAACCGAAUUGAUAUUACAUUAAAUCGAACUAAACCAACCGAUGCACACCACAAACACAAAGAAGUUUUUAUGGAUAAUUUAUAUUGUGAUUAAGAUUAAUUAAAAUUGACUCCUAUUUUCACAAUAAAUAUAUUUCAAACUUCCUAAAAAUAUUUCACUUGAUUAUGAUAAAAAUCAAUACUAUACGUUAAAAUAUUUUAAGAAAUAAGCAUUCCUAAUUAUUGAGCGAACUUUUAUAAUUAAGAAUAGUCAUUAAUUUUUAUGUUUUAUGUUUGGUAAAUUAAGAGUGAUUAAAGGAAAAUUAAUUACGACAGAUUCUAAGAGAAGAUGAAGUCACACAAUAAUAAAAAGUUAUUGAAAAUUCUAUUUUCGCUAGUCUUUUUCUUUUAUUAAUUAAUUUUCUUUAUUUUAUUUAAACAAAAUUAAUAUUUAAAUAAGAUGAGGUGAUGAAUACAAGGUUAAGCCAAGUAUCAUAUUGAAAAAAUAUUGUAAACAAAUAUUAUUUAAUAAUUAUCUGAAUUACAGUUGUGUGUUACUAUAAAGUAAAUAUUGUUAUAAAUGUAUUUACAUUAUAGUGAAUGUCUAUCAAUGUCUAUCAAGAAUAUUAAUUUGAUCUAUCAAGAUCUAGUUGAUAUCUAUCAGGAUUUGAAAUAUCUUUAACUAGGAGUAUUUUCCCAAUAAAUAGAAGGAUUUUGUUCAUUGUAUGCUCAAUCAGAUCUCUGAUCUCUCAAAAGAAAUAAAGAAGCCUCUUCCCUUUUCUCUCUAUUUAUUUUUGUUCUUGCUUUAUAUUUUAUAACACGUUAUCAGCACGAGACUCUGCCAAACAGGAUAAUCUUAAAGUUUGUCAUAUGCCACGAGAUGGUAAGAACAAGGCUAAUGACGCAAAGGUCAUGUCAUAGACCCCGCAUUCAAAGAUGAAAUCUUUUUCAUAAGAUUUCAUGAAAGUGGAUAAUUAUAAUUUCUUCAUUUAAAUUUUGAUCAAAUUAUGUGUUCCCUGGCAGUUUGUUUUUAAUUCAUUAUAAUAGGGGUGGUGUUACUAUAUUUUUCCGGUCUCUGUAUUUGUAAAGGAACAUGGUAGAAGCAUGCUUACUUUUUAGACAUGAUAUCAUGACAUAUAACAAAUAAUAAAUUUGGUAUAUGCAUCUCUAUAAGUGCAUGCAAUCAAGCCAAACAAUUUCACUAAGAUAUAUGAUCAAGAUCUAACGUCCCCAAUUAUUGUUAUUAAUAUAUUUGUGUAGACUUAAUAUUUUUGCAGAUCUUGGUGGAAUUGUCGUGGAAGACAAAUUUUCAGUUUGAUAAUUUAUUUUAUCAAGUUUUGAUAAUUCCAAAAAUUUGUAUUAAUGUGAGUCCUCUAAUUAUAGUUGAAACUCAAGUUGAUUGUGCAGUUUGACAUAUUAUGUUAUUGAUUAAGAAUACAAUAUUGGGUUCAAGUCUCAUGGAUUUAUGCCUAAGAUACCUUUAUAUGGAUAAGACGUUGAGUUUAAAUCUCAAUGCACCAUACUGAUGAUAUUAUGAUGGUCAAGGCAAAGUAAUGUGUAUUUGAUGAAAAGUAUGUGAUAUGCUCCAUUCCAUGAAAGGAAUGAGAAAGCAAUAUAUGAUUAGUCUGAAGAUGACAAAUUGUUUCAUUCCAUGAAGUGAAUGUGGUAGCAAUAUAUGAUAAGUCUGAAAGAUGACAAUUUGUUCCAUUCUUGAAGUGAAUGUGGCAGCUAUAUAUGAUAUACAUUGAAAGAUACGUAUGCCUCAAUGUAUGCCUCAAUGUGAUCUUGAAGCAACAAUAUCAUGAAAGAGGUUAUAAGCUAUCAGAAUUUGAUAGGCUUAAGGCACGAUUAUAUUUUAUUCCUGAAAAAUGAGAAGUUUAUUAAUGCAAACGUGCACUUGAUUGUGAUGGUAUCACAACUCACCUCCGAAAGAGGUUGAAUAGUUGAGAAGAGUUAUUUUGAAAUCUACUUGUAAAGUAGUAAAGCUGAAAUUUAUUCAUGUAAUACUAAAUCUGAAUUUAUUAAAGUAAAAGGUGCAUAUCAUGGUAAACUUGGAGUUUUUUAGAAUAAAAGUUCAUAAAUUGACCUGAACGAUUGCGACAUCCCAAAGAUGUACAUACUGAAUAUUGAACACAUAUAGAAGAAUUAGAAAAUUCUUCAUUACUUUUAAUGUUGCUUGUUCUUAUGAAAAGUUGGUUGGACCAACUAAUUUGGGGAUUGGAUCCCUUAAAAUCCAGAAAGUAUAAAAGGUGAAUAAGGGCCCGUUUACCUAUGUGAUAUUUUGAAAAGAUGCAUCAAUAAGAUGAUCACAUGCACAUUCAUUGUCAAUCUGCUUUGUCAUUCAUAAAGUUGCUUGCUCAAUAAAAUUGAGUUAAAAGCAUGACUUUCAGACUGUGUAAUAAAGACAAUUCAUCUUGAUGAUGAUGGCUUAGCAUUGAAUGCCUUCGAUAAAUAGCUAAACCAUUACUAAUGAGAACAAAGCUUCACGUGUUGGUCUGAAAUAUGAUAUGUUGCAUACAAUAGCACUUGUAUGCAUUAGACCAAUAAAUUAUAAUAUUUCUUCCCUCACAAUUGGUUCAAGGUCAGGAACCAACUAUUUCAUCUAAUAAUUUUGAUGUGCGGUAUAUGAUUAAGAUGCACAAAGAUGGAUUUUUCAAAGAAGAUGGAGGAUUUAUGUUAGUUUUUCUAACAUAAGGGAGAGAUUAUAAGCGGCUAUGAAAUAUGUUAGAAAUUAUCACCGGAUUCGCAUUCAAAAGAUAAUUCAAGUUAAAUGCCGAAAGCAUCUCAUAUUUAAGCUGCAAGUGCUCCUAUUUUGUGUGCAUGAAGGACAAAGUCUAUGCAUGCGUGAAGCGUGGUAGACCAAUCGGUUCUAAAUAAAAUAAUCCUUGAAAAGGAUAAGGAGCAAAUAAUCAUAAUAAGAAGGCAAUGUACUCUUGAAGAGCCUACGAUAUAACACUUCAUGAAACCUUAUGAGAGGUUCAGGUACCUACAAAUAAUGAAGUGAUGAGAUCUCAAAAUGUUAUGUCACAUUGUGAACCGAGUAUAAAAUGAUAUAUCAUCGAUGAUAUCUUUGAUAUAAUAUCGACACAAUAUUGUAAAAGGUUACGAAGAUCUAAAUUCUACGUUUAUUUAAGCAUGCUGACGUAGAAACAUGUAUCAAGUAAUAUGAAACGAUGCAUCUUGAUAGCAUAAAUAUUAUUUGAGUUACAGUCCAGAUACUUGAAGAUGUCACUCAUGAAAUAUUGAAUAUUGUCACUUGAUAAAAUUUCCAUGAAAACAUGUUUAAGGAUUAAAAAUGUUUGAAGCAUUUAAAAGUUUCUGGAAAACUUAUUUAUAAUCCUUAUGUCACGUAAAUUUAUUAAAACUUUUGAAAAGUUUUCAAAAUUAAUAGAUUGUUUGCUGAUAUGAGAAAUAUACCAAAUUGAAUUGGUAUUGAAGUACCAUAUCUUAGUGCAAGUGGUGCACUAGUAUAUCUUGCAAAUAUUACAAGGAUAUAGCAUUUUCAUUUAAUUCGUUAGUAGGUAUAUUUAUAAUCCUACUAGGAGACAUCAAAAUGGGAUAAAAUACAUGAGUUUAUUUUAUUCUAAAGCUUGCAGUCCCGAUCUUAUUAGUAAUACUGAUGUUGGGUACUUAUCUGAUCCACAUAAAUCUUGGUCUUAAACAUGUAAUGCGUUCACAUAUGGAAAUACUUCCAUAUCUUGGAGAUAUACAAAGCAGUUUAUUGUAGCCACCUCAUCGAAUCAUGCUAAGAUAAUAGUUAUUCAUGAAGCAAGCUGAGAAUAUGUAUGGUUGAUAUCCAUGAUACAUCUCAUUUGAGAAAAAUGUAGUUUGAAAUGUGACAAAGUACCCAUGAUUUUAUAUGAAGAUAAUGCAGCAUGCAUAGCACAUCUUAAUGGAGGAUUCAUAAAAGGAGAUAGAAUGAAGUAAACUUCAUCAAAGGUUUUCUACAUACAUAAGCUACAAAAGAAUGGUGAUGUUAACGUGCAACAGAUUCGUUCAAGUGACAAUAUGGCUGAUUUAUUCACCAAGUCUCCUCCAAUUGAAACUUUCAAGAAGAUGGUUGAUAUGCCUAAAUUACAACUCUCGUUAGAAAUUGCAAGCGGUCGCUGUCAAAUAUAGAACCCAACUGGGUUGGGUGUCACAAUAUUGUAAAAGUUUACGAAGAUCUAAAUUCUACGUUUAUUUAAGCAUGCUGACGUAGAAACAUGCAUCAAGUAAUAUGAAACGAUGCAUCUUGAUAGCAUAAAUAUUAUUUGACUUACAGUCCAGAUACUUGAAGAUGUCACUCAUGAAAUAUUGAAUAUCUUUUGAUUAUCAAUUAUAUUCAAAUAUUUGUCACAGAAAGUAAUCCAAAUGUAGGUUAUAUUCUUAAUAGUAAUUCAGUAAGAGAAGUCAAACUAGAGUUAUGGUUACCAAGAUGCUUAGGCAACUAGGGUUGUGAACUAUAUUGGGUUCCCAAUGAAUAAUUCUUAUUGCAAAAUUAAUUGGAUUCUAUGAUUUACCCAUUAGUUUCUCAACCUAAAUGAGUAACUUAUCCCUUAAUUCUUUUAAACUUAAGGAACAUAGUAUUAAUUCAACUAUUAUCUCACAUGGGUUGAUCCGGUGAAGGUAUCUACCCUCUACCAAAGGUUAAAGCCUUUAGAUUUAUGUAAAUCUUUUCUUUUCCUAACAAGCACUUUUCUAUUUGAACAAGUGUUGUUCUUGGCCUCGUUUUUCAAGUUUGCAACCAAGAAAAGUCAUUAAAGUGAAGAAGAGUUUAUAUAAUAACAAUUACUCAUGGGAAUCUACUAGAUUCACAAUCCAAAAUCAGUUUUUCCCAUCAAGGAUCCCAUAACCCUAGUUAUGGGGGCAUAGCCACACAUUUCCACCCAAGAAAGAGAAGUAACCAUUGUAUUAUUCAUAAAUUAAUUCAAAGUUUACUUACAAAAGUCACAAUUAUUGUUCUUCAAUCUUUAAUAGAAAAUAUGAUAAAGGAAUCUAGAUCCACAAAUCUCCAAUGAAUCUUAGAGAAAAAUUAUGUAAUAAUGUAUUUUCAGUAUGGAAAACCUAAUAAAAUAUAAGAGAUCCCUAAUAAAACCUAAAACUGGGUAUUUAUAUGUUCCCAGCCAAAAGGAAUUUAAAAUUCAAACUUAAAAUCACGCGUCCAAAGUGACGGACAAAGUGGUGGUCUGUCGCAAGGUUGAUGGUCCUCCAUUUGGUCCGUCCCUGCUGAUUUAGAAAGCCAUUUUCUUGAUAAGACUGACGGUUAAAGUUGUGGUCUAUCGCAAGACUGACGGUCCACCAUUUUGACCGUCGAUGAUGAUCCUUGAGAGCCAAGUUCUGGAUGGUCUUGACGGCCAAAGUGAUGGUCCGUCGUAAGACCGAUGGUCCACUAUGUUGGUUGUCGUUGAGCAUUUCAGGAUGCCUGGUUCUGUUUAGUGCUGUCGGCUAAAGUGGUGGUUCAUCGCAAGAGUGACGAUCCACCACAUGGGCCUUCGUUGGGUCUUCAGAAGUUAUGGCUUCUUUUUGGACCUGACGGUUGAGUUGGUGGUCCGUCGCAAGACUGACGGUCCACCAUUUUGACCGUCAGAAGUGUUUUUUCCGCUAAUUUUCUGAGUCUUUUUCUUCAGCUAGCUCCUUACCCCAAAACACUAAAAAACAGCCUUAAAUGCAACCUUGGUUGCUUGAAAACAUGCAAUUUUUCCUAGAAAAAGAUAAAAAAUACUACGUCAAAAGCCGGAAUAUCAACACCCUCAACAUAAGAUAAUUGUUUGUCCUCAAGCAAAUCAGCACAAAAUUGCAAAUAUGAAUAAUACAUGACGGUCAUUUACUACUGAACCAAUUCUCACACAACCAUUCACUUGUCAUCCAAAUCAUAUGGCUUAACAUGUCAGAGUCUAUAAUCGGCAUUAUUUUAAAUUCAAUUCAUCUACACAAUAUGGAUACAAGAAUCUACAGAGAUCAGCCAAAUUAAGUAUGACUCAUGUUUCCCUCAUAGAGAAGGGGAUCCACCACUCAGUAUAUUUUGUAGAUACAAAUCAAAAUCCUCUCACUCAUCAAAGAAGUAACCAACAUAGCACAUGCACCCAUAAACUUGCCUUUAUAAUCUAAUGCCUCCAUUAUAGCUGAGUUCCAAGAUCAAGCAUGUCUUUUCUAGGCUAGUAAUAAGGUAUCAGGCUAGGUUAUGAAGGAAUUUUGGACAAAAGUGACUUAAGAACAAGGCUUUAACUCUCUUUGCCUUCAAAUUCUUCUUGCCAAGGCCAUUUCUUUGCUAGCUCACUUACCCUUUUCUCAUUCAUUCAUGCUUUACCACAAUAAACCUCUUUUUUAUAUUACACACAAGCAUCAGCCCCCCUCAACUUAGGUUGAUGCCAUAAGUCAAAGUGCACAUUGUCUUAACUAGACCAGGGCCAAUACUCAAAUUCAAAUUCUAGACCAACUUUCCGUUAGGCAGUUAAUAGUCCUACAAUAACCACCCUCAACUUAGGUGUUUUGACUAUGUUUAGGUAUACAUUGCCCAUUACUAGGCCAAGGCCAGAGCUAGGAGUCAACAACUGAAAGAGAGUUAACUAGAAUGCUUGGUGGUGAAGAAAAAUUAACAAAGCCUCAAAUAAGGGUUCAAAAAUGGAAAAAUAUUUUUAGUAGGGUUAAUUACUUUGGCAAAGUGGACUAAAAUCACAAGGUAGCCUACCAUCCCUUCUUAUCUCAUCAACUACAGAAUAGUAUCAAUUGAACCAGGCAAGUUUUAGGUACUAUACUAUGUAAGAACUAAUACAAAUACUCUCACACACAGUGACACUGAGUAACACUCAUUCUACUGUUCUUAAGAUUUGCAUCACAUGUCAUGUAUAUUUACAGGUUAAUGCCAACUACAGAUUCACUAAUAGUUGAGCACAUAUCCUAGGGGACAAAUAAACAGUCAUAUGGAAAUAGUCCUAGCUUGGUGCCAACAUCAUUCAUCAUCCACAUUUACAACAAGAUACUAACACAAACAGCACUAUUAUUCCAUGGACCAACAUUGACAACAUAACAAGACUUAAAAAGAAAAAUGUGAAUCUGAAGUUAAAACUAGAAAAAGAAAAAUACCAACUUAACAUGAUCCUAGACAUGUCGAUUCUCCUAGAUAGCACAUGGUAGGAUUCAGAAUAACGGCAAUACCACCCCCAUGAUAUAUGUACACCAUCCAAGUACACCAUCUCCACAUUAAAAACAUAUGCAUUAUCCUUAAAGCAUUAAAUUGAAGUACAAAGGAAUAGGUAUACUUAUUUUUUGUCUUAUUCAUCCGAGGCAUCUGUGAAGUAUGGUGAGGCUCCUGUGUCCUCACCUGGUGCAAUUUUGACCCCUAUGGUGGUAGGGGAACUCAAAACCUCACCCUCCUAGAUCGGAGGAAUCAUCUCUCGGACUGAUGCUGAACUUUGUCCCUUUGCUGGGGCAUCAGUUGUAGAUACUCCUGUUGCUUCAUGUUCCUCUUUCUUCUUUCUCUUUUUUUAUCUUUAUUUGAUUUCUUGAUCUUUUUUUAGAUCAUGUUGUUCCUAUUCCUCCAGUGUUAUUUAUGCUCUCUUUCUUCUUUUUUUUAGCUCACCUUAUAGCUCGUGCAUCCAUGUGUUGCUUUUAUUUGUCUUUCACAGGUCUUCCCAUUAGGUCCACAAUGCCUUCAUCAUCGUCACUUACUAGUAAGGCUGGGUUAAAAAUAGUCUAUUAUGGCUGCCUUUCUUUUAACUCUGCUUAUCAGCCUUCGCCUGCUCAAAUUCAACCAUGAGCUUGGCAAGAUCAGGAAGAGACAGUGCAUCUAGCCUUUUGUUGAUGCGGUGUUCCAUGUUGUCCAUCCUAGCCUGAAUAGUUUGGAAUAGACGGAUUGCCUCAGCUACAAUUUCUUCAACAAAAGGCUUGAAUUCUGACGCCCAUUUAUCUAACUAUUUCUAAAACCUCUUUUGGAGCUUCACCGAUUUGCAAAAUUUUCCUGCGUUAACCUGUAUUCGGCAAAGUCUGCUUGACCCAUAGAUGAUGUAGAACCUGACCCUGCAGAUGUACUUGGAGGCACAUACUCAGGUGUCACAUAAGUGGUGAUGGGCAAAGGCAUACCUAUAGGAAUUUUAGUAGCAUCGGGAGUUGGUGCAGAUUGAGUCUGGUAAGCAGGAGAUUUGGUGACAUGCAUCUCAAAUUUUGAGUCAUCUUUUGACUUCUCAAUGUCUUGUCUAUGUGUAUCCUGGACUGCGUUAUUAACUCCUUGAAUCAGAGGCACACCUGAUUGCCUACACAACUCUGUGAUCAAGCAUGGAAACGGCAAUGCACUGGCAGUUUUAUUUGCCCUUACGAAUAUCUCAUCUGCAAUAAUCUAGCCGAAGUUAACUUGCAGCACUGAAACCAAGCUGGCCACCAAUACAGCUCUGUGUUUAUCCAAGUUUCCAUCACCUUUUGUUGGCAUCAGCCUUAAGCGAACAAUGGCCCACCAGAACUUAGCCUUGAAGCUAAUGGAAUAUUUUGCAAUACGCUCCCGUUGAUUGGUCAACCAAGAAGGGUUACUGUCAUUAGUCAAUAAUGAAGCCACCCAAGGCCUUUGAGUCGAUGCAGUCCUCAACCAAUACUCAAGAUCAAGUAUAGCAUAUGGAUCCUCGUACUCUGGCCCAAACAGCAUCCUAUUAAUUGUUCGGCAUGAAAUAUCGAUAGUGACUCCUCGGACAAGUACUGACUCUCUAUUCAACAAUCUUGCAACUAGCAUCCCUUUGGAUAGUUCUUUUUUACUAAUCCAAGAUAAUUGGCAAAGAAUUCUCUUACCCAAUUCAGUUGAUACGCUCCCGGUGUCCUGCUCAUCCAUGCUAGUUCAUACUCGUUGAAACGACGUUCCAACUCAGGAUAUUCAUGUAACUCCGCUAUCAUAAUCUGAUGUUUCUCCACAAAUAGCCUUUAUAUCCCUCUUGUUGUAGGUGCCAAUCCAUCGUAGAAUUUUUCUCUUGCUCUCUCUAUCUUCCAUCUAAUUGCCUCUUGAACGUAACGAUCCUUACACUUGAUAACGUUAGCAUCCUUAGGUUCAAUAUGCAUAUCGGUUGUUUCCAUUUGUUCUCUCACGUUAGUAGCCUCAGUUCCACCCUCAAUAGGCUCGGGUUGAUUUAUAGCAACCGUUGUCUCGUCUGGGCUUGAGCUGGUACUGUUUGUACUACUAUUGCUCUUCUCUUCAAACUGGGAGAGCGUGGGAUUUUCUCUUUCAUAUUGCUUGGUGUUGUACGCGAGUGCAGAUUCUCCUCUACCCCUUUGGGAUCUUCCUCCUCUAUUUGGUGGAAGUUUAUGAGCCAUAACACUUGAGAAAGAAGUAAGGAAUUAGUUCACAACACAAAAACAGCCUAACAGUGAAAACUUAGACUUGACAGCCACACUGGUGGUCCGUCAGGCAAUUGGUGGUCCACUAGGUGGGCCGUCAGGUCCUAUCUAGAAGACCUGAAAAUUCAAGGAGUUACGACGGUCCAUAUGGUGGUCCGUCGCAAAGUUGAAGGUCCAUAUGGUGGUCCAUCGCAAAGUGGACGGUCCACCACUUUGGCCGUCGCAUCUUAACUAGUGGGUGUCAUUUUUGGGGUUCUUGUGAUGGUCCAUUUGGUAGUCUGUCGCAUAAAUGACGGUCUAUUAUUUCAACCAUCGCACACCCUUCUUAAGAUUCAGGAUUCAAUUUGGCAUUUUGUCUAACAUUUAGCAUACAAUCCCGACUUUUUUAGCAAAAAUUGACACUAACUUUACAUUUAUGCACACAAUUUCACACUUUUGAGCAUACGGGUUACUCAGACUUCACCCACAUAAUGUAUAUUACCAUUCCAUACUCAAAACAAGUUAACACAAGAAUAAAAACAAGAUGAACUUUUAUCAAUUAACCAAUUAUUCAUUUCAUAUUGUAGCAGUUCAAAAAAAAAGACAUAGAGGUGCUCAUACCUUGGUUUUGCAGAAGUUUCUUUUUUACUUGCUUGCAAAUACUGAAAAACAAACUUAACUUAAAACUCUAUAAUUUCUUUCAAGAAUGUUUGAGAUAGAGAUAAAGAAAAGAAAAGGGUUUGCUUAAAUAGAGCAAAAAGAAGUAGAUGGAGAGUCCUAGGAAGAUUAAAUGCCCUCAGAUUCUUUGAAUCUAAUGGAAUUUGAUCAAUUGAAGAAGUUGAAAAGGGUACAACGUAUGUAACCACUCUUUUACCUCUUUAAAAUAAAUUAGCCAAAUAUGGGUUACUUAAAUAAAUCUCAAUUUUAACCUGACCCGACCCAGUGCUAGGGUAACAGCGACGGUUGCUACGACGGUCCGUCGAAAAUAUGAUGGACUACCAUUUGGGCCAUCACUCCUUACCAGAACAUGGUCACUUCAGCUUAAUUUCGAUGGUCCAAGUGGCGGUCUACCAAAUUUGUGAUGGUCCACCA
rnacentral:lncRNA from 1 species